GAUGAACGCUAGCGGCAGGCUUAAUACAUGCAAGUCGAGGGGCAGCACGAAUAGCAAUAUUUGGUGGCGACCGGCAAACGGGUGCGGAACACGUACAGAACCUUCCUUUAAGUGGGGAAUAGCCCAGAGAAAUUUGGAUUAAUACCCCGUAACAUUAUGAAGUGGCAUCACCUUAUAAUUAUAGAUUUAUCGCUUAGAGAUGGCUGUGCGGCUGAUUAGGUAGUUGGUAAGGUAACGGCUUACCAAGCCUGCGAUCAGUAACUGGUGUGAGAGCACGACCAGUCACACGGGCACUGAGACACGGGCCCGACUCCUACGGGAGGCAGCAGUAAGGAAUAUUGGUCAAUGGACGAAAGUCUGAACCAGCCAUGCCGCGUGAAGGAUGAAGGUCCUCUGGAUUGUAAACUUCUUUUAUCUGGACGAAACACUCUUAUUCUUAAGAGCUUGACGGUACCAGAGGAAUAAGCACCGGCUAACU
rnacentral:rRNA from 1 species